rnacentral:rRNA from 1 species
AACGAACGCUGGCGGCAUGCCUAACACAUGCAAGUCGAACGAGACCUUCGGGUCUAGUGGCGCACGGGUGCGUAACGCGUGGGAAUCUACCCUCAGGUUCGGAAUAACUCAGAGAAAUUUGAGCUAAUACCGGAUGAUGACGUAAGUCCAAAGAUUUAUCGCCUGAGGAUGAGCCCGCGUAGGAUUAGGUAGUUGGUGAGGUAAAGGCUCACCAAGCCGACGAUCCUUAGCUGGUCUGAGAGGAUGAUCAGCCACACUGGGACUGAGACACGGCCCAGACUCCUACGGGAGGCAGCAGUGGGGAAUAUUGGACAAUGGGGGAAAGCCUGAUCCAGCAAUGCCGCGUGAGUGAUGAAGGCGUGAGGGUAGUAAAGCUCUUUUACCCGGGAUGAUAAUGACAGUACCGGGAGAAUAAGCUCCGGCUAACUCCGUG